UCGUUUUUCUUGUUUGGUCUUUCAG
rnacentral:piRNA from 1 species